rnacentral:rRNA from 1 species
GGGAGGCAGCAGUGGGGAAUAUUGCACAAUGGGGGAAACCCUGAUGCAGCCAUGCCGCGUGUGUGAAGAAGGCCUUCGGGUUGUAAAGCACUUUCAGUAGGGAGGAAGGUAGUGUAGUUAACACCUGCAUUAUUUGACGUUACCUACAGAAGAAGCACCGGCUAACUCCGUGCCAGCAGCCGCGGUAAUACGGAGGGUGCGAGCGUUAAUCGGAAUUACUGGGCGUAAAGCGCAUGCAGGCGGCCUGUUAAGUCAGAUGUGAAAGCCCCGGGGCUUAACCUCGGAAUUGCAUUUGAAACUGGCAGGCUAGAGUCUUGUAGAGGGGGUAGAAUUUCAGGUGUAGCGGUGAAAUGCGUAGAGAUCUGAAGGAAUACCAGUGGCGAAGGCGGCCCCCCUGGACAAAGACUGACGCUCAGAUGCGAAAGCGUGGGGAGCAAACAGGAUUAGAUACCCCUGGUAG